rnacentral:rRNA from 1 species
AUGAACGCUAGCGGGAGGCCUAACACAUGCAAGCCGAGCGGGAUUUGUUGGUUAGCUUGCUAACUAACAAUGAGAGCGGCGUACGGGUGCGUAGCACGUGUGCAACCUGCCUUUAUCUGGGGGAUAGCCUUUCGAAAGGGAGAUUAAUACCCCAUAACAUAUUGAUUGGCAUCCGUUAAUAUUUAAAGCUCCGGCGGAUAGAGAUGGGCACGCGUAAGAUUAGCUAGUUGGUGAGGUAACGGCUCACCAAGGCUGCGAUCGUUAGGGGGCCUGAGAGGGUGAUCCCCCACACUGGUACUGAGACACGGACCAGACUCCUACGGGAGGCAGCAGUGAGGAAUAUUGGACAAUGGGUGAGAGCCUGAUCCAGCCAUCCCGCGUGAAGGACUAAGGACCUAUGGUUUGUAAACUUCUUUUAUACAGGGAUAAACCUACUCUCGUGAGGGUAGCUGAAGGUACUGUAUGAAUAAGCACCGGCUAACUCCGUG